rnacentral:tRNA from 1 species
CUUCGUGGUGUAGUGGUCAGCACGCUCCGAGCUUUAACCGAGAGGUCCGGGGUUCGAUUCCCGGCGAAG